GGGUCACAGAGGUGAGAUCUUUGCUGCAGCUGUUCUAAAGGGCCAACAACCUGAUGAUAAAACCGGCCUAUCAGCACGGUUCAGUACUGUGCCACACAAUUCUCACUGACUGUACAAAAACAAAGGACUCAGUACUCAGGGGAGUUCCCGCAAGCCUGUUUGUAGUGCCUCAUCCUAUAGGUUUGCUUAUCAAGGACACUUUGUUUCCAGUGACAGCUCUCUCUACACAUUCACCUAGCUGUGAAGACAGAUUACUGCAGACAGAGCCAAGGAAGCCCAGACUCAUCCAGUGACAAUCCCGUCUCCUGCCAUGACAACAGGAGAAUGCCAUGGCAAACUAUCCGCUUUACCAUAUGCACCUUCCAUCCUCUAUUUCCAUACAUAUGAGCAGCAUUAAACAAUAAGCUUGCAGUGGGAUGAAUUUAAAACUAAUGUAAAACUCAGUGAUCUAGUACCAUGCAUGACAGUUGAAUGAACUCUCCAGAGACAGCAGACCCUGGUGGAGUCUCUUUGCAC